rnacentral:lncRNA from 1 species
UUAACCUACCUAUGAAAGGCUACAGAAAGGCAGUGAAGUACAUCUUUGAGAUGAUGAGGACUUCUCCCAUAGAAGAUCAGGAUGCAUUUGACAAGCAUGGGGAAGUGGCUUAGAGAAUUUAAUAAAGGAGUUUGGCAGUUGCUUCCAAAGACUACAUUGCUCUCAAGAUACUUUGAAAUUAAAUUUGUAUUAAUUGAAAAGCAAGAAGAGAACUUUAGAAUAUAUCAGAGAGAAAUUACACAGAUGAGUUUACUUGCUGAGAGGUACACCACAGGCAGCCCUGGCACUUGGCAGCAGUCUUGACAAGUACCUUCAUAUUUCCUUUGCCAGUAGGUUCAAAUGUAUUUCUAUACCCUCUCUCUCCAAAAUGUAUCUAUAACUAAAAUGCCAAAAACAAUCUCUAAAAGCUCUAUAAGUGUUAAAUAUCUCUAAAGACUCAAUUUGUUCCCCAAGUAGAGGUAGCCCCUGGAUGCUUCCUCCCACAAUAAAAGAAAUUUUCCAGCAUCUUACCUGAACCUCAUCUAUUAAAUGUAGGACUUAGUGUGGAAAAAAAUUACUUUCAAAUCAAUUGGAUAUCACCUGACCUGAUUUUUGAACCCACACCAACCCAAACGCAAAGGAAAACUCUGUUACUGAUUCUGCCUAGUGAACAGUGACAUAUCUGUUCUGGUUACAGAAAAGAAUAAUGUCAAAACUAGCAAAACAAUAGCAGUGAACAAAGCAGCCAAGAUAUUUUUAAAAAUCUAUAGCCACCUUACAGUGUCUAUAUCACUUCUCUAUCCCAACAUAUGAAUCUCUACAGAUCUAAAAAAUACUUCAUAUUCCAAAAAUAAAUACCAAGAUGUUGUAAGCCUUGUCUUCUGUAUCAUACUUGCCUGGUUAUGUGCAGUUUCUUCAAUGUAGUACCAAUAUGACUGUGAUGCAUCGCCUAUUUUUCAUGUCCUUAUUUUUAAAUUAAGGCCUAUUUCGCAUGGCUUGCUUAUAUUUAAGCAUAAUAUAAAUACAGGCGGCAGUAUAAAACAAAUGCUUAAGUAAAUGAAUUAUAAAAUAUCCCUAAAACUACUAUCAGUGAAAAAGAAUCUUGCUAGUUACCUCAGAAGUCCUUUGUACAUUGUCAAGCACAGUUUCUUUGUUUAUUUUGGUGAAGAUAUGUAUAACUUAAAAGCUUCAUCGGUUGUUUGUGAGCAUGGUAUGUGAGAGAGAGAGAGAGAGAGAGAGAGAGAGAGAGAGAGAGAUUUCCAAUUUGUAUGAAAUAAGAUCUCUCUUGUUCACUGUAACUGCACAUACCAGCCCAACUGGCCAGUGUGGAUAUGAAGAUUGUACUGUCUCUGUCCACCAUCUCUCCAUUGGAGUGCAGGAAUUUAAGGUGUAUGCAAUACUAUAUUGGAUUUUUAUAUGGGUUCUGGAGAUUUGAAUUUAGGUCAUCAGGCUUGUGAGACAAAUGAGCCAUCUCCCCCACACAUCAAAUGCUAUUAUGAGGCCACAACAUUUCUGUUUAUUUCUUACUUCUAAAAUUUGCAUUCACAGUUUUGGUUGAUUGAUUGCUUCAUUUUUGUGGUAUUAGGGGUUGAACUGACAGCCCUGUGGAUGCUAAACAAGCACUUUGACACUGACUUAUACCCCAGCCCUUCCCAAUCAGUGCUAAAGCUGACAACAAUCCUGUCUGCCCCAGAGAGGAUUGGAAGGAAGCAAUUGCACAUGGGCAAGUAUUUUGUAUAAGCUUAAGAGAUGGAGAUGAAGAGUGUUGAGAGUCAAAGGCAAAACAUGCAUGAAAGUUAAGUGUAAGAAGCUGGGAUCAUCUCCGACUUCCUCUAGAACCUUUUCAGCUAAAUUAACAUCCCCACAUCAUGUAGAUACAUUCAAAUACAAAAUAUAAAAAGCUUGUAAAAUGAAAUAUAAGAGAAUUUAAAUGUAUGCAUUAUUCAGUACUGUCCAUACCCUGAAUUUCCUAUCCUUCCUGCAAAUAAUCAAAAGUAAAUCUCAAGACUGAAUAGAUAAAAUGGAUAGAGAAGGAAAGGCAGGAGGAAGCAGGGUUUGAUAGUCUGUCUAGUGAAACUUCAACUUUCUCCAGCUUUCUGCCAAGAGGCAUUGAUGUUAAUGUUCUUGGACUAUUCUGUAUGAAUUAGGCAAACUGUCAUAGACCCACAGAUUAAUCACUCAACAAUCUAAGGUCUAUUUUGAAAGAUGGAUUUUAAGUUCUUUCCUUAUUCAUCCCAUGGUAUGUGGAUAAUUUAAAAGCAUAACUGUCUGACUAAUUGGCCAAUUUGAUCUUCAAUACUGAAAAAUCAGUACUUUAUCAUUACCUAAGACUUUAUGUUUCCCUAUAUCACCAGAACACAAAUUGAACAGAUAGCAUGUAUAAAAAUAUCAGCCAGGAAGCAGAACAUGUUAUUCUUUUGUCUUGAUCACAUUCUUAUCCAGUAGGAAGGGAGGGGGUAAAUCAGCAUGAGCAAGCACCUACUGUAUGACAGAGAUAUCUCAUCUAAAACAUGUUUUAAAAAGAGAGCUGGGUUGAUCUAUUCUAGGAAUAAAUGUCUCAUUGGAGACCACAAAGGUGUUGCCUCUGUGGAUCAAGAAAUGCAGCAACAAAAUAUUGAGCCAGAAAAUCCCAGUAUUCCCUAUCAGGAGGAGCAUGCUUUGUAAAAAAUAUACCAUCACAGCCUUAGCAACCUG